rnacentral:rRNA from 1 species
UGGGGAAUCUUGGACAAUGGGCGAAAGCCUGAUCCAGCGACGCCGCGUGGGGGAUGAAGCCCUUCGGGGUGUAAACCCCCGUUGCGAGGGAGGAAUAAGGCCUGGAGGAAAUGCCAGGCCGAUGACUGUACCUCGCGAGGAAGCCCCGGCUAACUACGUGCCAGCAGCCGCGGUAAUACGUAGGGGGCGAGCGUUACCCGGAUUCACUGGGCGUAAAGCGGGUGUAGGCGGCUCGGUAAGUCGGGUGUGAAAUCCCACAGCUCAACUGUGGAAUUGCGCCCGAAACUGCUGAGCUUGGGGCCGGUAGAGGGAGACGGAACUGCCGGUGUAAGGGUGAAAUCCGUAGAUAUCGGCAGGAACGCCGGUGGGGAAGCCGGUCUCCUGGGCCGCGCCCGACGCUGAGACCCGAAAGCUAGGGGAGCAAACC